AGAACGAACGCUGGCGGCAUGCCUAACACAUGCAAGUCGAACGCUUUUGGGGCUUCGGUCCCAAAGGAGUGGCGCACGGGUGAGUAGCGCGUGGGAACCUGCCCUGGAGUGGGGGAUAACCGAGGGAAACUUCGGCUAAUACCGCAUACGCCGGGAAACCGGGAAAGAUUUAUCGCUCUAGGAGGGGCCCGCGUCGGAUUAGGUAGUUGGUGGGGUAACGGCCUACCAAGCCUUUGAUCCGUAGCUGGUCUGAGAGGAUGAUCAGCCACACUGGGACUGAGACACGGCCCAGACUCCUACGGGAGGCAGCAGUGGGGAAUAUUGGACAAUGGGCGCAAGCCUGAUCCAGCAAUGCCGCGUGAGUGAUGAAGGCCUUCGGGUUGUAAAGCUCUUUCGCACGCGAGGAUGAUGACGCUAGCGUGAGAAGAAGCCCCGGCUAACUUCGCGCCAGCAGCCGC
rnacentral:rRNA from 1 species